UGGAGAAACUGUUCCAAAAACUGUUGUGACACACUUAACAGAUAAUGAAGUGUGUCUGAAAGGAAACUUCACUGAUAUUCAAUGGAAUCUGAUUGAAUGUGUCAAAAUAACAGAGCAAAACUCUUGCACAUCCACACACACUGUUGUACUGGACACAUGUACCUACACAAUGAAUGUUGAUAUGCCCCCAGUCAAACCUGAAAUACACUUCAAUCCAACUGUUCCUUCUCAGUUUGAAUGGACUAAUAAACCAGCACGAUGUAAUCCUGUGCUUAAAGUCGUUUGCACCCAUGGCAAUAAGAAAGAUACAUUUGUUUUAAAUGAAAAGUGUUUUUAUCACUCAAUGAACAGUACAACUGUAUUGGAGAAUACCCUUAUCAGAAACGAUUCAUCAAGAGUAAUGAGCUGCCCAUUCAA